GGACUACCAGGGUAUCUAAUCCUGUUUGAUCCCCUUGCUCUCGCGCCUCAGCGUCAGGUAUAAGCUAGAGAACCGCUUUCGCCACAGGUGUUCUUCCACAUAUCUACGCAUUUCACCGCUACACGUGGAAUUCCGUUCUCUCCGCCAAACCUCAAGUUAUAUAGUUUCAAAUGCAGCUCCGAAAUUGAGUUCCGGAAUUUCACAUCUGACUUAUAUUGCCGCCUACGCGCCCUUUACGCCCAAUAAUUCCGAUUAAUGCUUGCACCCUCCGUAUUACCGCGGCUGCUGGCAC
rnacentral:rRNA from 1 species